AAUUAUGUUAUUGAAAUCAUGUCAAAUUAGGCCUUUAGGCCGAUUUGAUUAAUUAGUUGGACCAAUCAAACCAGAGUUUAAUAUUUUUAAAUUAAAAUUGGUUUGAUUGAAUCUGAAUCGAUAAACCACACCAAAAAAGAAUGGGAAAAAAUCAUUGAUGUUCUAGUUAACCCGAUGUGGUUCGGACCCAUGUGCUUUGGGUUGCUUGGGGUGCCUCCGAGGUGUAAACAUCACGCUCUCUCGAGACGCCACCUGCACAAAGACCAAGGUCAAGAGAUAUUUCUCAAGUUUAUAACCUAAGAUAGUGAGUAUGGAUGUGAAUAGUAAAAAAGUGAUCCUCCUUUUCAUUGUGUUGAAAAUGAGCUUUUAUAUCUAGUCGUAAAAGGACAAAAUAUUUUAUGAAAUAUUGUACGGGGAGGCAACCUCUAAUCGCCUCCAACAAUCUCCCCUAGGCCUUUUAUCCACACAAGCAACAAGAGGGAACAAUCUAUAACCGUCUGUCUAGGAUCCGUAUCCACAUGGGCGAAUAGGAGGGUAGUCUUGGUCUUUGGCUUCUACAUGGACACCAUGUAGAAGCCAUGUGUCGAGUGAUUACUGGCUGAUGAUGCUCUUCUUAUCAUUUGUCCACCUCUCCCCUCUCCCCUCAAGGUAUUUUGUUAGGUUUCUCGACCACCACGCCUCAAGCAGAGGAGGGGUUCGAGUUUUCCUAUCGCCACGCUUCAAACGAGGGAGGGGGUAGUUUCUCAACCUCCACACUUCAUGUAGAGGGGAUUGGGAUUUCCCGACCUCCAUAUCUCAGGUGGAGUUAGGGGUCGAGUUUCCCAAUCUCUAGACCUUGGGUGGAGGAGAGACCCGACCUCCACAUCUUAGGUGGAGGAGGGACUUGACCUCCAUGAUUCCUGAUUUUUAUACCUCAAGUAAAGUUAGGGGUCAGGUUUCCCAACCUCCACGCCUCGGGUGGACAAGGGGGUCGAGUUUCUAAACCUCCCUAGCUCAGUAAGGACUGCAGCGAGGGAUGCGAGCGUUAUUGGCGGCGAUCCAUCACCAACUUGCCCCUCUUCUUCUGCUUAUCGUCGAGGUAGGCCACGAGAGGAGCCGAGGCGGACUACAAGUAGUGCAAAGGUGGUCUCCUCUUUGCUUGUCUCAACGACGAUGAGUACUACUCUCCACAACCAUUGAAGUGGAAUGUGCUAUGUAUAGAAAUGGACUAUCAUUAGGGUUCCAAACAAAUAAGAUAACUACUUUUUUACUUUCAUCGAAAAAUAUUAGAAUUAUCGAUUGGUGAAUCAGCAUGGCUAGGUCCACGGGUCGAUGUUGGGAGUUUUCUAUUGGCUGAACUGGAUGCGAAGGUAGGUCGGGCCUUUGCGACGGGGUAUUGGUCAAUGUUUCUUGGUCCGAGCACCGUUUGCGUCACUCGCGUGGAUUAAAUGUCAAGAGAAGGUUGUCGGAGACGGUUAGAGGUUGCCUCCUCGUAGAAUAUUCCAUAAAAUAUUUCAUCCCUUUUACGACAUAGUAUAAAAGCUCAUCAACGCAAUGAAAAGGGAGGUCACUUUUUGACCACUCACAUUCAAGAUUAUUUUUCGAUCACUCGCGUCCACACUCACUUAUCUCGGGUUACUAACUUAGGUGUUGGAGGAAUCGAGUCAAAAAACCUCCCCCGAUCUCAUUCUUUAUGCAUAUGACACCUCGAGAACUCGAUGUUUUCAUGUCAAAGGUACCCUGGGCAAUCCUACGCACAUGAGUCUAGACCACGUCAAGUUGACCAGGACAUCAACGACUUCUUCCCAUAACAAAAAUCAAACUAUUAAUAAAUCACUUCAAACCAAACCGAUUCGAUUUGGUUCUUUGAUUUGGUUAGAACACCCCACUAAAAACUUAAACAACAUAAUAAGUCUAUUAUCAUUGAUUUGGAUUAAUGGUUCAAGCUUAACCAAGUUAAUAGUUAGCUCAAACCUAAUAAGUUGGAUUCAUUAAUUGGAUUAUUUUUUAUUCAUAUUGAUCAUAACAUUUUAAAGAGCUCUUAUAUUUAUUUUUUAUGAUAUUUUAUGUUUUCCCUCUCAAGAAUCAUAUGAUAUUUUAUGUUCUCUUUUAUUCUUUCAUCUGUUUGCCUUUUCUCAUCAUAUUUUUAAUCACUAUCCUUUUAAUAAAUCAUUUUUUAUAUUCUAUUACCAACUCACACUUUUUUUAUGUUAUCAGAGAAAAAUGUCAUUAACGUCUUGAUCAACCCGACGUGGUCCAAACCUAUAUGUGCAAGAAUAUUCAAGGUGCCUCCAACGUGAAAACAUCGUGCUUUUGAGAUGGAUUCGAGAUGGAUUUUGAUAUUGCUCUAAUGUGUUGAGCUCUUAAGGUACCAUCUACACUAAUAUUAAGGUCGAGAGAGGUUUCUCGACUUGAUCCCUUCGACUCUCAAGUUAGUAAUCCAAGAUCUCCAAACGUGAGUUCAAGUAAUUCAAAAGGAAUCGAUCAUUCUUCUAUUUCCCUAUUUAAAAUAUAUUUUUAUAUCUUAAAGGAGAAAAAAAAAGUUUGUGAUAUCAUUCUUUGUCAUAAAGGAAAAAAAAGAUUUAAAAUUAUCUUCAUUGUCAUAAAAGAAAAGAAUAAAGUUUAAAAUUACCUUCCUCGUUAUAAAGAAAGAUAAUAAAGUUUGUGAUUAUCUUUCUUAUCAUAAUAAAUGAAAAAAAGAUUUGUUUUUCUUUAUUAGGCUAAUGACUUGAAUGACACAUGAGGGUUGUAUCAACUAUUAGAUUUUUUUUUUUAUCAGAUAUCAACAUAUUUUUCCAUCAACCAUUCCAGAGUUUAUAUUCUUUUUUUAGUUUGGUUAUCAAAUUUCAUGAGAUGGCGACAAAGAAGCAUUUCACAACGAUAUCUUUUAUUGUAUAUAUUUCUUAUUACAUCUCAUGUCCUUCUGCACAAACUCCAUCGCCAGCUCAAUAAAAUAAUGAAUCAUUUAUGCACUCAGCCUUGUCGUCUUUGCAUGCUCAUCAGCAUCAAAUCCACUUCCUAUGUGUAAAGUUGAAAGCGUAUAGUGCCAUAAAAGUAACCCAACCCUUCUCUUUCAAGCUUUUUCCCUUUGCGUUGGACUCCAAAAUUCAUAUGAUUCACGCAACUCAAUGACAUCCUUUUACGGUUCAUUUCCUCCUUUAAUUCCAUCCGUUUCACAACUCAUGAAUAUAAAAUAUUUGAAGAUUCUGUGAAAUCUGAAGCAUUAGAAAUACAAACAAAUUGUAAAUUUUUCUUACACUCUCUCUUAUAGAAAAUAUAGUCUUAAAAUAUUCCAUCUCCUCAGUACAUAUUUUGUGUACUAACCUCAAUAGGUCGCUUUGUAGAGCUUUCAAGUCUUAAUAUCAUUUUUAUUGGACGAGUAAAAGAUUUAUUCUUCUAUCUAAUUCCUUCUACUUUUUCAUGUUUCCUUUACUCAUCUUCCACUCACCAUCACUGUCUCCAAGGUUAGCUUUAUUCUACACUUUCCCUAUGUCAUCUCCUCUUGCAUUAUUACAUCAACUUGAGAAGGAGAAUGCUCCUUCUCAUGUUUAAUGUACAUUUCACAAAAUUAUACUUCGAUCCUUGCCAUUUAUUUCCAUUGGUCAUCUUGACAAAUAAUUUUUAAAGAUGAUUUUUUAUGUUCAGUUAAAUUAUUCUUCAUUUUCAUAUUAAUAUAUUUUUAGUAAGGCCUACACAUAAUAUAACAAAAAAUAGAGGUGUCUAAUUAUAAAUGACCAUAGGACGAGGGUCGAUUAUGUUAAGUGUAAGGACUGAAACGUAAAGACAAAGGAAUAAAGAAAACUUCAAGGUUCGAUAUGUAAAACUUACCAAACCGCACCCAUAUAUGCCGAGGACUCGACUUCGCCGUCUUCCUCACCCUUCUGCGGAGACAAUGGAGGAUGGAAUGAGGACAAGGAGCUUCAGGGACGAGGACUACAGCAACAGGAGGGCGUUCCUGCGGAGCUACCCGCUUCAGUGGGGAGAACAGAAGGAAGAAGAGGAAAGGGAGGGUUACCAGAAGGAAGCAGCGGCGUCGCGGGAGCACCAGGCCUCUCUCAAGACCAGGCUUGCAGUUGUGCUACAGUGGGGUGGGGCGACGCUCCUGCUCCUCAAGAGGUGGAAGAGGAAGAUUGGGUGUUACUCUGUGGCUUGCGGUCCUUUUG
rnacentral:lncRNA from 1 species